ACAUGUGUUUGGGUUUAUGUCAGCCCUGUCCCCCUGGGUCUCUCAGAGUGCCCCAUGCCAGAGCAAACUGUGACUUUGAACUACUGCCUGGCUUCUGUCUGUAGGCUGCAGGCACUAAAGUGGUUUGCACAGUG